rnacentral:rRNA from 1 species
AUUGAACGCUGGCGGCAUGCUUUACACAUGCAAGUCGAACGGUAACAGGCCGCAAGGUGCUGACGAGUGGCGAACGGGUGAGUAAUGCAUCGGAACGUGCCCAGUCGUGGGGGAUAACGCAGCGAAAGCUGCGCUAAUACCGCAUACGACCUAUGGAUGAAAGCGGGGGACCGUAAGGCCUCGCGCGAUUGGAGCGGCCGAUGUCAGAUUAGGUAGUUGGUGGGGUAAAGGCUCACCAAGCCAACGAUCUGUAGCUGGUCUGAGAGGACGACCAGCCACACUGGGACUGAGACACGGCCCAGACUCCUACGGGAGGCAGCAGUGGGGAAUUUUGGACAAUGGGCGCAAGCCUGAUCCAGCAAUGCCGCGUGCAGGAAGAAGGCCUUCGGGUUGUAAACUGCUUUUGUACGGAACGAAACGGCUCUCACUAAUACUGGGGGCUAAUGACGGUACCGUAAGAAUAAGCACCGGCUAACUACGUGCCAGCCGCCGCAGUAAUAC